rnacentral:ncRNA from 1 species
CCCUGACAGUCACAUGGGGUGACUGACACUAGCCACGACAGGAGAUAACCAAUG